GAGAUCCAGAGGAGACAGCAUAAAAGGACAAAACCAGCAUUGAGGAAGCAUCUGCUAUCUGGCUGUGGAGAUAUCAACUCACCCCUCUACUUCUCAGCAAGGAGGACCUUGGGAGUGAGAGUGACAGUAGCAGCAGCAGAAGCAGCAACAGUGACAGGGAGACUGAACAGGUUGUACAGAGUGAAAGGGUGAUUACAAAGAAAAGGAAGAGAUGCAGUUAGCCCUGAAGGAUUCGGUUGGCUCUCAUGG